rnacentral:rRNA from 1 species
AUUGAACGCUGGCGGCAUGCCUUACACAUGCAAGUCGAACGGUAACAGGCCGCAAGGUGCUGACGAGUGGCGAACGGGUGAGUAAUGCAUCGGAACGUGCCCAGUCGUGGGGGAUAACUGCUCGAAAGAGCAGCUAAUACCGCAUACGACCUGAGGGUGAAAGCGGGGGACCGUAAGGCCUCGCGCGAUUGGAGCGGCCGAGGUCAGAUUAGCUAGUUGGUGGGGUAAAGGCCUACAAAGGCAACGAUCUGUAGUUGGUCUGAGAGGACGACCAGCCACACUGGGACUGAGACACGGCCCAGACUCCUACGGGAGGCAGCAGUGGGGAAUUUUGGACAAUGGGCGCAAGCCUGAUCCAGCAAUGCCGCGUGCAGGAAGAAGGCCUUCGGGUUGUAAACUGCUUCUGUCAGGGAAGAAAUCUUCUGGGCUAAUACCCCGGGAGGAUGACGGUACCUGAAGAAUAAGCACCGGCUAACUACGUGCCAGCCGCCGCCGUAACAC